AGUGAACGCUGGCGGUAGGCCUAACACAUGCAAGUCGAACGGCAGCACAGUAAGAGCUUGCUCUUACGGGUGGCGAGUGGCGGACGGGUGAGGAAUACAUCGGAAUCUACUUUUUCGUGGGGGAUAACGUAGGGAAACUUACGCUAAUACCGCAUACGACCUACGGGUGAAAGCAGGGGAUCUUCGGACCUUGCGCGAUUGAAUGAGCCGAUGGCGGAUUAGCUAGUUGGCGGGGUAAAGGCACACCAAGGCGACGAUCCGUAGCUGGUCUGAGAGGAUGAUCAGCCACACUGGAACUGAGACACGGUCCAGACUCCUACGGGAGGCAGCAGUGGGGAAUAUUGGACAAUGGGCGCAAGCCUGAUCCAGCCAUACCGCGUGGGUGAAGAAGGCCUUCGGGUUGUAAAGCCCUUUUGUUGGGAAAGAAAAGCAGCAGGUUAAUACCCCGCUGUUCUGACGGUACCCAAAGAAUAAGCACCGGCUAACUUCGUG
rnacentral:rRNA from 1 species